rnacentral:rRNA from 1 species
UACGGGGGGAGCAAGCGUUGUUCGGAUUUACUGGGCGUAAAGGGCGCGUAGGCGGCGUAACAAGUCACUUGUGAAAUCUCCGGGCUUAACCCGGAGCGGCCAAGUGAUACUGUUGUGCUAGAGUGCGGAAGGGGCUACUGGAAUUCUCGGUGUAGCGGUGAAAUGCGUAGAUAUCGAGAGGAACACCAGUGGCGAAGGCGAGUCCCUGGACAACUCCUGACACUGAGGCACGAAAGCUAGGGGAGCAAACAGG